UCAUUUGCAACUUACACAGCAUCAUGCAUGCACUGGUUGUCGGAAUGUCAUGUCAUCAUUUUGCUCAAUUAAAUAUAAUAUAUAAAGGUAAAUAUUUUAGUUAAUUAAAGAAGUCAUGAUAACUUCAGGGACAUAGCUUAUGAUAAUAUUGAAACAUUGACAUGAACAGAAUUUACCAUGUGUUAUGCAUAUUUUACAUGUAUGGAGGACAUAAAUUAUGAUGUAAAAUCAUCUUCAAAGGAUGUAAAACAAUUAUCGAAUCAUCCAUUUUUAAGUAUAUAUAUAAAGGUCAUGAAUGUCUGUAUCAUCCAGUGUUGUAUGUUAAACUAAAGCGAGACAUUACUGGUAUCCAACUGUACAUAUGGAAAUGAAAUCGAUGAGAGGGAAAAUUUCCAAGACGUCUCCAUUUACAUGUUACCGUUAUUCAUUCGGAAAAAUUAACAGAAACGAAAACCGUUUUCUUACGGAAAUUUAUUAUGAGGAAUGUUUACAUCUUUUCUCCAUUCGGAAGUCACUCGGAAUACCUCGCACAAUUUUUCAACGUUAUCAUCCGGGUACCUUCAUCUCUCUUUCGCAAUGCAAAUUCAGAGGGGGAAAUCUUUGGAUUUUUUUUUUACUAUUGAAUGAACAUCGUUUAAAACCAGAGGUGUAUAUAAAUAUAGAAUAAUUUAAGAAAAUGUUCAACAUAAACAGCUUGGGACAAAUAUAACAUUAAUUUUAUGUUCAGUUGUUGUUUAAACGUUGAUUUUAAAAAAAAAGCUUUAUAUUAAGUGUAAAAAUCCUUGUUUAAAUUUACCAAGGCACGCAUUAACCCUUAUGCUUAAUUUACUGAGAAUUUGCCGGCAAUUUCUUUCUUCUUUUUUUUGCCUAAAUAUCUGUGAAAAUAUUUGUGAAUUGUUAUUAUUUUGCCAUGUACAUGUACUUGUAUUUCAUAGAAAUUUUAUUUAUAUAUUUAUGCUGAAAUAAAGAGAAUGCUUCGAUGUAUUAU
rnacentral:misc_RNA from 1 species